rnacentral:tRNA from 1 species
AGGGAUUUAGCUCAGUGGUGAAAGCGCCUGCCUGGCAAGCAUGAGAUCCUGAGUUCAAUCCCUG